UACGGAGGGGGCGAGCGUUGUCCGGAGUUACUGGGCGUAAAGCGCGCGCAGGCGGCCCUGUGCGCUGCCGGUGAAAGCUCCCGGCUUACCUGGGAGAGGUUCGGCAGGACGGCAGGGCUGGAGGGUGGGAGAGGUCGGUGGAAUUCCCGGUGUAGUGGUGAAAUGCGUAGAGAUCGGGAGGAACACCCGUAGCGAAGGCGGCCGACUGGACCACACCUGACGCUGAGGCGCGAAGGCCAGGGGAGCGGAACGGG
rnacentral:rRNA from 1 species